rnacentral:rRNA from 1 species
UACGAAGGGGCUAGCGUUGUUCGGAAUUACUGGGCGUAAAGCGCGCGCAGGCGGCCUUUCAAGUCGGUGGUGAAAUCCCAGAGCUCAACUCUGGAAUUGCCAUCGAAACUGUAAGGCUUGGGUACGGGAGAGGUGAGUGGAAUUCCGAGUGUAGAGGUGAAAUUCGUAGAUAUUACGGAAGAACACCAGUGGCGAAGGCGGCUCACUGGCCCGUUACCGACGCUCAGGCGCGACAGCGUGGGGAGCAACAGG